GUCAGAUUCCAGGCAGAGAUGAGGAAUAUCUGUUCUGAGGUGGGCAGCAAAGCUGGCAAACUAAGGCGAAAGGUGAACCUCCCAUACCGUUAGUGAUGAGAAGAUGCUAGAGAAGAGGAAGUUCCAGUGCCAGAAAACAGAGUGCUCACAGGAAGAUGAAGGAAGCCUGGAAAACUUUGCCUUCCACCAUGUGCAGCCAUGACCCUGCAUCUAAUUCCAAGUGUUCUGUUGCAGCUUAGUAUUUAAUAAACUGUGUUUUAGUCUGUUUUGCUGCA